AAUCCCUCUCUCUACAUUACUCUCUUCAUCUUCUCUCUUCAUCCAUUCCUUUGAACCACCCCCAACAAACCCAUCUCAAUCCCUCUGAACCGCCCUAAAAUUCUUUAACUUCGCUGCUGGCCGAAUCCGAGCUCUACAACUGGCGUGACUCCAAUGCAGAGGUAAAGAAUUUCUCUCCAUCAUCCGAAGACCAGAGUCAGAUGUGCGAACCCUCCUCCAAAUCCACAGAGCCAUAGAGACCAUCAAUUGAUCAUUAGUGGAAUAGAGAAAGAACGAUUCCCAAAAUCAAACUCCAUAGAGACCAUCAAUUGAUCAUUAGUGGAAUAGAGAAAGAACGAUUCCCAAAAUCAAACUGUUCAUAUUAGAGAGCUUGAGGAAGAAGUGAAACUUCUUAACAACCAUUCGCUUCUGAACAUUGUGGUAAGUAUCUGAUUU